rnacentral:lncRNA from 1 species
GGAGGCAGAGACACAGGCAGAGGGAGAAGCAGGCUCCCUGCCGGGAGCCGGACAUGGGACUCGAUCCCAGAACUCCAGGAUCACGCCCUGGGCUGAAGGCGGACGCUCAACCGCUGAGCCACCUGGGCGUCCCGCGAUUACUUUUCUAAUCAAAUGUACACACAGACUCAGAUACAGAGUAAACAGGGUUGGACUGGAGAGGAGAGGGGUGCGCACUCCCCACGGGCGGGUGGGGCACUCAGGGUCGCGGCGAAGGCCGCCUGCACCGUGCGAGACGCCCGCUGUCGGCCCGCCCAGCGCUGCUGCUCACCUGGGGGUGAGCCCAUUCACCUCACCGCUGCAGCGCAUGCGUCAGAGCGAAACCUCGCCGUGAGCGGGAAUCUCACCGAGGUCUGUCUCCGGCCGGUUUUUACGUCCCUUAUGAGGAAGGAGGUCAACCCGUAUCCGGCCGUCCAGGCCUGCGUCCGCCUUGAGCGGGAUCAGGUGGGACGCCUGCUAUUUCCAGGUGUUUCCAAGUCCGUUGGGGUGGGGCAUGUAAGACUGCUCCUUGACAGCUGGCCUCCUGACGCAGCUGUUCAACAGCCUUUCUUCUGGCACGGUGACAAAGCUGACGUGGCUCUUAGCCUAAACGACUCCAUUUUGUGGAGCAGCCAUUUUAAGGGUCCAAAGUUACUUACUUUGGAAGAUAAUGAUAUACAGACACUUAAUAACAUAAUGUUUGCAAUGCCCAGCAUCCAGAAAAUUCCAAGUUAUGAGAAGCAAGAAAGUAUGACAUAA